UUGAACGCUGGCGGCAGGCCUAACACAUGCCAGUCGCACGGUAACAGGAAGCAGCUUGCUGCUUUGCUGACGAGUGGCGGACGGGUGAGUAAUGUCUGGGAAACUGCCCGAUGGAGGGGGAUAACUACUGGAAACGGUAGCUAAUACCGCAUAACGUCGCAAGACCAAAGAGGGGGACCUUAGGGCCUCUUGCCAUCGGAUGUGCCCAGAUGGGAUUAGCUAGUAGGUGGGGUAACGGCUCACCUAGGCGACGAUCCCUAGCUGGUCUGAGAGGAUGACCAGCCACACUGGAACUGAGACACGGUCCAGACUCCUACGGGAGGCAGCAGUGGGGAAUAUUGCACAAUGGGCGCAAGCCUGAUGCAGCCAUGCCGCGUGUAUGAAGAAGGCCUUCGGGUUGUAAAGUACUUUCAGCGGGGAGGAAGGGAGUAAAGUUAAUACCUUUGCUCAUUGACGUUACCCGCAGAAGAAGCACCGGCUAACUCCGUG
rnacentral:rRNA from 1 species